rnacentral:rRNA from 1 species
GAUGAACGCUGGCGGCGUGCCUAAUACAUGCAAGUCGAGCGAACGGACGAGAAGCUUGCUUCUCUGAUGUUAGCGGCGGACCGGUGAGUAACACGUGGAUAACCUACCUAUAAGACUGGGAUAACUUCGGGAAACCGGAGCUAAUACCGGAUAAUAUUUUGAACCGCAUGGUUCAAAAGUGAAAGACGGUCUUGCUGUCACUUAUAGAUGGAUCCGCGCUGCAUUAGCUAGUUGGUAAGGUAACGGCUUACCAAGGCAACGAUGCAUAGCCGACCUGAGAGGGUGAUCGGCCACACUGGAACUGAGACACGGUCCAGACUACUACGGGAGGCAGCAGUAGGGAAUCUUCCGCAAUGGGCGAAAGCCUGACGGAGCAACGCCGCGUGAGUGAUGAAGGUCUUCGGAUCGUAAAACUCUGUUAUUAGGGAAGAACAUAUGUGUAAGUAAAUGUGCACAUCUUGACGGUACCUAAUCAGAAAGCCACGGCUAACUACGUG